UCCGGCGUAGCUCAACGGUAGAGCGGGUGGCUGUUAACCACUAGGUUCGGGGUUCAAAUCCCUGCGCCGGAG
rnacentral:tRNA from 1 species